ensembl:lncRNA
CAUAACUGCAUUUCACAACAUGAGAAACAGAGUCUACUACAGGCACCAUUUCUUGUAAAUCAGCUGGUUUGCCGUUGGUAGAUUCCACACUCCCGACGGGAAUAAAAGCCAGGCUUUCUACAACAGGGUGCACACACUUUCAGUGAAGACCAGACCCAGAAAGCAAUCGUUGGCGUGCCGCCAGUGUUUUUGCUGCGGGCGGGCCACCGGCGGCUAUAAUGUCGUACAGCCAGCGGGCCACCAGCUUUUGCCGCUUUUCUCUUGAUUUCAAUUUGCAUCUCAGGCGGCUUUCCACCAGCGGCCCGACUGCGUUACGCUAGCGGCUAGCUGUCGAAAAGAGGGCAUGCGCUUUAGUCUGCUGUAUCUGCUUGUGUUGCCAUUUUCUUCCAGCAGAUGCUAUUGUACCCCUUUUAUUCUUGUAAUGAUUAUUUGAUUUAUUUUAAUAUUGUAAAAUCUUAGUGUACAGAAUUUUGGUCAACAAUUGGUAGUUUAUAAAUAAAAUAGACUUUGACUAUUGCAUUGCUUGUGUAAAGGACCUUAGACAUGUACAGUAAACACCUCUCGCCAUUGCUUGCCAUAAUAUUUUCACGAACUAAUGGCCAUUUUACAUUACAUGGUACCAGCUCAACUCGUCUAUAGCCUCGAUUUUAAUGCUUCAUGGGGGACAGUUCUUUACUGUGUUUAAACACCGCCGUGUCCGUAGAUGGCGUUUAAGUAGCGAAUUGCGCAUGUGUAAGGCAAGACCUUACACAUGCGCAGGACAGUCGCCAUUUGGAUCCCACGCUGUAGUACCGCGAAAACUAGAAAGAACAUUAAUUUUAGCGACUUGGUUCUCUUGUCAACUCUUGUUCAAAGUGUAUAAGCUAUAUGCUCUGAAUUGGACUAUACAACACGUGGAUUAUCACAUUGUUUUAUUACAAUUUUAUGAACUCCCGAAACAAACGAAGAUCAAGGAUUUUUUUGGACAUCAGACCGAAAAUUGUUGAACGCCGAGUCACAUACUUAGGGUGAGUUCUGUUCUGCGAUAUUAUAAAUAACUAGCGUUAAGUGUUGUUAAGAUACUGAGUAAUAACGUAAUGACUGUUUGCAAUAUUCUAUUAACAUUCUAAUUAUUUAGUCAAGUUACUGUAGCUGAACACAAGUUCAAGCCAUUGGCGGGAAAACAAGUUAUAGAAACUGAGCUUGGAAAAAACAGCGUUGUCCUGAGAUUAAAUACCUACAGUAACCCUUGUUUCUUCUUGUGUCCACAAGUUUGGUUGCUUAAUAUUUUUUUGUUUCUUCGUUUAUCCUCAAGUUCGGAUGUUUUGUGCUUCUUCGCCUAUCAACAGUUGAACAGGUAUGGUAACAUCGUUAGCUAACUUGUCUAAGUCGUGUUUCUUAGGGUAUCAACAAGUUAGAAUUGUAUAAUAUGUGACUCCUUGUAACUUGUAACUCCUUGUAGCAUGUUGCUUCCAAUUUUAUUUGUCAAUUUCAAUUUAUUUUUAAGGGCAAAAAGGCAGAGGUAGGGGGAAGUUUUAGCUCUGUACAGGUAAGAAUGAACAUUUUGGAGGACACUGCAAUUUGAGUUCUGAUGGUAAAAUAACCAGAUAUUUAGGACUGAAUAAUUAACAGUAUGUCUUUACUUUCAGAACAUUUGGAGAAGAUCAAGUGGCUGACUGAAGAGAAGGUCAAGCUGAGGGCACAGCUGGCUCUACAAUCAGUUAAAAACAAGACUUUAGUUACGCUAGCAUCUUGUCUUAAUGAAACAGCAUUUGUUUGAACAUGAGCCCUUUACUGAAAUGCAAUACUGUACAGCCUUUCUGAAAUUACAUGUAUAGGGCAGUUUUGUUUAUUUCACUAUUAAGCUAUUGACAUUUCAUUGUGCUUUUUAGCUUCUGAUAAACGUCUGACUUGAAAAGAAUGUCAAGCCGAGGGCACAGCUGCCUCUACAAUCAGAAGCCAUAAGGAAGAAUCUUUCCAACCGGGAUGCCACUGAUGAGGCGGUCCAGAACCAGGUCCCCAGGUACCAGAAAGGGGCAGCUGACCGUGCAGGUGGGAGAUGUCGCGGCGGUACAAGGGACCUGUCGUGAAUAUGAAUGACAUCUCCAGCACAACUAAUAUUGCUGCUAAGCUGCAGUACUGUAUUUCUUUUUUUUUUCUUUUUUACUGCUGCUAUGUACAGUGUUAUAUAUAUGAUUGCAUUAUCCUCUUAAUAUAUUUAUAGCUCUGUGUGAACUUUCUUAAUUCUGACUGUAGUUGUAGUGUUAUGCCACCAUUCAUAAUCUUAAUGCCCUGAUGUAUCUGAUAUUCAAUAACUAUUGUUUGCUGCUAGGUCAUACUUAUGUAUAUUACUGCCAUUCUGGCCCUUGUUUAUUUUGUAUUGUAUUAUGUUUAUUUUGUACUUCCACAUUAAAAUACUGUAUAUUUACUAUCUGUUACUGGACACGUUUUCUUGCACUAUCUGAUUUUGUAAAAUGUUUUUUUCAAUUCAUUUGCACAUGUUUAUUUUGUAUUCUUGC